GGGGCUGUACUUGGUUUCGACAGCAUGAGGAGUGGUAGGUAUAAGCAUGCAGUGCGUUGUAUAAUUAGCACUUAAAUCUGAAUAUUCAAACUUUAAAUGGCAAUACACAGUAUGCCAUGGCUGCUUAAUCAGCGAUUAACCAGUCAUUAGGGCCGCGUUGAACAGGUUGGUCUGUUACCGAGUUCCGCCGCCGACUCAACAAAUAAAACGGAAUGCUGUGCUAGUAGGCUGUGCCUAGCACAAAAGAUUAUUCAGCUAAGCGUAGGAUUGGUUGGUUUCUAGCCUGUCUUAUGCCGACAAUUAAUAUGGAACUAAGCAUGUAGAAGACUUAUGAUGACCGUGUUUGGACAGGGGUUCGAUCCCCCUCAGCUCCACAG
rnacentral:tmRNA from 1 species